rnacentral:lncRNA from 1 species
GGGGAAGAUUAAAGUUUAGAGGAAGAAUCGUUAAAAGUUAUCUGAUUCAUAAAGUUCAAAACCUCUAGUAAGUUAAGAACCUCUAUAAGAACAAACUCAAGAUCCUCAUAAACAUGUGCUUCACGAAGGGGGAUUCUCUAGUUGCUAAGGGAGACAAGUUUAGUCUCAAAUUAAUGCCCAAAAGGAAAUUAAGAAGUCUCUAAUGUAUGUCCAAGUAUGUAUGCAUCCGGAUAUAGCAUACACUGUUAAGGUUNUANGCANAUAUUUAAGUUAUUCAUGAAUGGAUUUUUGGAAAGCAGCCAAUAAAGUUAUGAAUUUUUCAAGAGAACAAAAGUUUAUAAGCUCACGUAUAGAAGGUCAGACCAGUAAGAGAUCAUCAAG